GGGUCAAUGAUGACAAUAGUCCUGUCAUGAAGAGAGAUGAUGACAUAAAAAUCAUGCUCAAUAGGAUUACGCUAAGGCCC
rnacentral:snoRNA from 1 species